rnacentral:rRNA from 1 species
GACGAACGCUGGCGGCGUGCUUAACACAUGCAAGUCGCACUAAGUGGCGAACGGGUGAGUAAUACGUGUGUAACCUGCCCACCUAUUGGUGAUAAACCUUGGAAACGCGGGCUAAUAACGAAUAAAGGGGGAUGGGCUCGCGGCCUAUCUGCUUGUUGGUGGGGUGAUUUCCUACCCAGGCGGUGACGGGUAGCCGGCCUGAGAGGGUGACCGGCCACAUUGGGACGGAGAUACGGCACAGACUACUACGGGCGGCAGCAGUGGGGGAUAUUGCACAAUGGGCGAAAGCCGGAUGCAGCGACGCCGCGUGGGGGAUGAAGGCUUUCGGGUUGUAAACCUCUUUCGCUAGCGAACGGGUAGGUGGAGAAGAAGCGCCGGCUAACUACGUGCCAGCAGCCGCGGUAAUUC